rnacentral:rRNA from 1 species
UACGUAGGGUGCAAGCGUUAAUCGGAAUUACUGGGCGUAAAGCGUGCGCAGGCGGUUUCUUAAGUCAGAUGUGAAAGCCCCGGGCUUAACCUGGGAACUGCGUUUGAAACUGGGAGACUUGAGUGUGGCAGAGGGGGGUGGAAUUCCACGUGUAGCAGUGAAAUGCGUAGAUAUGUGGAGGAACACCGAUGGCGAAGGCAGCCCCCUGGGUUAACACUGACGCUCAUGCACGAAAGCGUGAGGAGCAAACAGG